rnacentral:lncRNA from 1 species
UUGACUAUCAUAUGGAACAUUGACAAGUAUGAGCCGAAGAAGCACAUGCAAUUUCAAUCAAUUGAUACCCCAUGGGAACAUGAUGGCUAGAUUUGUUGGAUGAAAGGCACUUCGGACACACUUAUCUACUGACUUGCCCUUGGUCGAGAAUCAAGCAUGACAUACUCAUGGUAUACGGCGAUUAUGUGCCUUUACCUGGAUUGUGG